rnacentral:tRNA from 1 species
GCCGUGAUUGUUUAGUGGUCAGUGCUUUGCGUUAUGGCUGCAACAACCCUGGUUCGUAUCCGGGUCACGGCG